rnacentral:rRNA from 1 species
CCCCGAGCUCAACCUGGGAACUGCGUUNUGAACUGGGUGACUAGAGUGUGUCAGAGGGAGGUAGAAUUCCACGUGUAGCAGUGAAAUGCGUAGAGAUGUGGAGGAUACCGAUGGCGAAGGCAGCCUCCUGGGAUAACACUGACGUUCAUGCCCGAAAGCGUGGGUAGCAAACAGGAUUAGAUACCCUGGUAGUNCACGCCCUAAACGAUGUCGAUUAGCUGUUGGGCAGCAUGACUGCUUAGUAGCGAAGCUAACGCGUGGAAUCGACCGCCUGGGGAGUACGGUCGCAAGAUUAAAACUCAAAGGAAUUGACGGGGACCCGCACAAGCGGUGGAUGAUGUGGAUUAAUUCGAUGCAACGCGAAGAACCUUACCUGGUCUUGACAUGUACGGAACCCUCCAGAGACGGAGGGGUGCCUUCGGGAGCCGUAACACAGGUGCUGCAUGGCUGUCGUCAGCUCGUGUCGUGAGAUGUUGGGUUAAGUCCCGCAACGAGCGCAACCCUUGUCAUUAGUUGCCAUCAUUAAGUUGGGCACUCUAAUGAGACUGCCGGUGACAAGCCGGAGGAAGGUGGGGAUGACGUCAAGUCCUCAUGGCCCUUAUGACCAGGGCUUCACACGUCAUACAAUGGUCGGUACAGAGGGUAGCCAAGCCGCGAGGUGGAGCCAAUCUCACAAAACCGAUCGUAGUCCGGAUUGCACUCUGCAACUCGAGUGCAUGAAGUCGGAAUCGCUAGUAAUCGCAGGUCAGCAUACUGCGGUGAAUACGUUCCCGGGUCUUGUACACACCGCCCGUCACACCAUGGGAGUGGGGGAUACCAGAAGUAGGUAGGGUAACCGCAAGGAGCCC